rnacentral:rRNA from 1 species
AAUCAACGCUGGCGGCGUGCCUCAGACAUGCAAGUCGAACGCGAAAUUUCCCUUCGGGGAGAAAGUAGAGUGGCGCACGGGUGAGUAACACGUAGGUAAUUUGCCUUUGGGUGGGGAAUAACAGUCGGAAACGGCUGCUAAUACCGCAUAAUGCAGCGGCUCGACAUCGAGACAGUUGUUAAAGCGGGGGAUCGCAAGACCUCGCGCCUGAAGAGAAGCCUGCGGCAGAUUAGCUAGUUGGUAGGUAAUGGCCUACCAAGGCAACGAUCUGUAACCGGCCUGAGAGGGCGGUCGGUCACACUGACACUGACAUACGGGUCAGACUCCUACGGGAGGCAGCAGUUCGGGAAUUUUGGGCAAUGGGCGAAAGCCUGACCCAGCAACGCCGCGUGAAGGAU